ensembl:lncRNA
UCAUGAAAAAGUGCAUCAUUGGUCCUCAAUUUCUUAUCCCCUCUUGAGCAGCACCGUUUUCCAUGUAACUUUGCAGUGCUGUGGGUGGGCAGCAUGUCCUGCCCCUUGGCAGAAAGCAGAUGGCUCCCCCAUAUGACUUGCUUCGGGCAGUGGGGUGUCAGCAGACGUGACGCUUCUGUGACGCACUUGGGCUGGCUCUUGCCUCUUACCACUGCGGUGAGAACGUGGCUGGACAGCCUUCGGGAGAUGAGAGACACACGGAGCAGAGCCAAGUUUCUCCUAUCACCCCAUCCAGCUCAGCUACAUCAGCCAAGGUCAGCCUACAUCAGCCAGCAACUGUGGAACCCCACAGACAUCCACACAGAACUCCUCGUCUCUGAAAGCCUCUGCUCUUCCCAGCCUCCACGCCUCUGGGCACCUGUCCCCUGCCUGGAAAGCCCUUCUCAUCAUCUUUCUCCUGCAAACUCGUACUCCACCUGGAUGAACGGGCUCAGAUGCCACCCACUCUGCGAAACCAGUUCAGAGCCCCCUCCCUCACCCUCUGGAAGCCCCCCGGGGUGCCAGCCAGCACCUUCUCUGGGCCCCGCAGGAACUGUCACAGGCCGAUGUCACAGCUUCAACCACUCAGCGCAAGAACUGUACCCCACUGUCUUUUCAUCUCUGGGUCCCAGGUCCCAGAGCCCCUUAGGCGUAGGGCGGCGUCCCUGAGUGGUCACGGAGCAAACAUUAGGAUGGUGCAAGAGUAAUUGCGGUUUGGCCACAGAGGAACAAGCGCGCGGCGCCCGGCUCUUAUGCCACCCUGAGUGCGUCUCCCCUCGCCGCCCUGGCUGAGCCCUCGCCCAGAAGUAAGAGGAUGUGGUAUCCCCGUGCGGCCGCACUCCCAGGACAGCAGAGAUCUCUGCGUCCUCAGGCCGGCGGCCCCCGGAGGAGCAGCAGGCUGGAAAGGGAAGGGAAUGUUAUUAAAGUCAUCAGUUCUGGCGCCCGGGCCCUAGGGAGCCGAGCUUGGCUCGUAAUUAGGGUCGUUAAGGGAGACCGAGCCGGCGUGGGCGCGAAGCAGCCGGAGCCCAG